UACGUAGGUGUCGAGCGUUGUCCGGAUUUAUUGGGCGUAAAGAGCCCGCAGGCGGCUUGGCAAGUUUGAGGUGAAAUCUCCCGGCUUAACUGGGAGGGGGCCUCGAAAACUGCCAGGCUUGAGGCAUGGAGAGGGAUGCGGAAUUCCCGGUGUAGUGGUGAAAUGCGUAGAUAUCAGGAGGAACACCUGUGGCGAAAGCGGCUCACUGGACCAUAACUGACGCUGAUGCACGAAAGCUAGGGGAGCAAACAGG
rnacentral:rRNA from 1 species